UUAUGUACAAACUGAUAGGUGAAAAAAAAAAAACAAAAAAAAAUGAAAUAAAAAUAGACCCUCUAAAAAUGAAAAAUCAAAUAUGAAAAAUUAACUUGUUAAAAGGUUAAACAAAAUAUAACAAACAAGUCAAAAAAAAAAAAAAAAAAAAAAAAAUGAAAGAAUUUUUAAGUAAAAAUCAAAAACUGUUAAACUAUUUUUACCUUAAAAAAAUUUAGAACUAUUAUUGUAAGAUCUAAGAAAAUUAAAACAUAAUAAGUAACACAAAGGAAAAAUAUAGUACAGUAUAUCAUAACAUAAAACGAUACUGAUAGACUAAAAAAAAAAAAAAAAAAAACAUGAGUUAUGCAUUGCUUCAAACACGCCUUCAUCUUUUAUAUAAGGCAUAAUAUAAGCACAUGUAAUUUUUUUAUAUCUGUUCGUAAAGGCGGAGAAAGGACUUUAAGAAAUGAUAUAAAUUAUAUUUAUUUAAACGAAUUAUUAACAUAUGAAAAAAAAAGAAUAAAAGACAAUACAGAUAACAAAAAAAAUAAAAUAAAACAUUUAAUUAAAUUAAAUAAAGUAAAUGGUGGUAUACAAUUAAAGUGUACAACUUCCUUAAUUUAUUUAUUAUCAUUAAGAUGUAAGUAUAUUGAAAGUAUAUGGUUUAACGUUUCAAAAAAUGUAACUUGUACAUCUAUAGCUAAUUUAAAAAGUAUCAUAACAAAUAUUGAGUGGAAUAAAUAUAUAAACUUAGAGGAUUUAAAAUAUAUGUCUUUAAAAAUUAUAUGUACAAAUUCGAAGUUAUUCGACGUGUCGAGUAUUAAAGAGGCCAUAUAUGAAUCCUUACGAUUGGUUGUGCAUAAGCAUGGCACAUGUAAUUAUUUAUUUAACGACAAAAACGUAAAUGGCCAAACAGGCGACCAAACAAGUGGCCAAACAAACUGCAGUGGAAACAUCACCGCAAGUAAUGACAAAACAUAUGAUUCAUUUCUAAUGUGUAAUAAAAAAAACAGCAUUAAUAGUAGCAUUGAUGAUAAAUUUUGGAACUUGAUAUAUAUCCAUAUUGAUGAAAAUAUAAGUAACAUAAAUUUAAAAUUUAGCGGUAAAUUAUCUCCUCGCUUUUAUGAAUAUGUCAAUAUGCCUGAACUUGAACAUGUAGAAAAUUUUGAAGAAAGUAAUACUAUUAAUUUUAAUUCUCUUUUUAAUAAAAAAUAUAAAAUCAUAAAUGAAAAAAUAAAAAACAUCGUCCAUAAUAGUACACCAUUUUGGUCUGUUUCUGAGGAAAAAAAAAAGUUAAACAUAGAUUAUAAUAAUAGCCAAAUUGAAACAGACGAAAAUACAAAGCAUUACAGAUAUAUAUACUUUUAUGAUAGGGGGGUGAACAAAUGUUUAAAUAGUGACGACUCGAAAAGUCAUACUGACAUUGAUAAAAAAGAGAGAACACAUAAUAACGUUUUAAUGACAAUUAAUAAUAAUAAUAAUAAUAAUAAUAAUAAUAAUAG
rnacentral:lncRNA from 1 species